UGGUGGUGCAUGGCCGUUCUUAGUUGGUGGAGUGAUUUGUCUGGUUAAUUCCGAUAACGAACGAGACCUCAGCCAUCUAAAUAGCUGUAGCUAACCCGUUAGCCGGAUCCGUGGAUCGGUCGGCUUCUUAGAGGGACAAUCUGUGCAUAGCGGAUGGAAGCUUGAGGCAAUAACAGGUCAGUGAUGCCCUUAGAUGCUCUGGGCUGCACGCGCGCUACAAUGGUGCACUCAGCAAGUUCAUCCUCGCCUGAAGAGGCCGGGUAAUCUUGAAAGUGCAUCCAAGUUGGGAUAGAUGAUUGCAAUUGU
rnacentral:rRNA from 1 species